rnacentral:lncRNA from 1 species
CAGUCUCUCUCUCGUCUCUUCGUUCUCUGUUUCUCCUCUCUCUUUCUCUUCUCUCUCACUCCUCUUUUUCUCUCUCUCUGCUAGAUCUAUGGCGGCGGCGACUGCGUGUCGUAGAUGAGGCGGAGGAAGUGGCGGCUAGGGUUUGGUUGUCCUGUGGUCAUCGGGAUUUGAGAGGAGACCGGAUUUGGGAGCCUAGGGUUUGGCGGCGGCGGCCCUACCGUCGUUCAGAUCGGAGCGGGAAGAGACGAGCGAGGGGAAGGGAGAUGUGUGGGGGUGGCCGUUGUUUCACCGGCGGUUGCUAUUACGGUUGUGUAUGUGUGUACUGGGAGAGAAUGUCGAGAUAGGUAACCGGCGGUCUCGUCCUUGUCAGAAGAGAAGAGAGGCCAGGGGUUUUAGAGUGAUUUGUUUGUUUUUUUUCUCAUUCUCUUCCUCACGCCGCCUGCGAUCCCAUCUCCGACAAAUCGCCGUCGUUGUCUCGCCUCUCGUUGCCUCGUCUCUCUCUAUCUCUCAUACACCUCGUCGCUCGCACGAUGAGAACACGCCGACACACCUCAGGAAGAAGGUCACCGACGUAGAACACCUGCUACCACCAAGGCUGACGGCUUCGCCCUUGACCGCCAUGGUCACCAGCUGUAACAGAUCCGCCAUAUGUCUGUAGAUCUGAAAUCUCUCAGCUUUUUUCUCCACAAAUUUUCCAUCAAGGACUGCCACGAGUCGAUGUCGCAGUAGUAGCAUCGCCACCUCCUUCGCAAUUCCGGUGAAAAUUGUUGUCACAAGCUGCCAACGUCGGCUGAAAGUUGAGAACUGAGAAUUGGAGUUGUUCGAGUCCAUUCUCUGUUAUUAAGUUAUACGAAAUAUGCGUGAGUUUUCGGUGAAACAAUUUUGUUCUAUAGUUUGAUUUUGUAGUUGGAAUACAAGAUUGAGUAAUGCCGAUUGAGAAUUGAAGUAGAAUUAGUUUACAAGUAAUGAAGAAAUUGAUGAAAAUCACACAAUUUUGUACAAAUGUUCUUGAAUUCACAACUAAAUUUAUGAAUUAACAACUAAACUAUUAGCGUUGGUUGUGAAUUCACAAUUAGAAAUAGUAUUGGUUGUGAAUUCACAACUUAAAAUAGUGUUGGUUGUGAAUUCAAGUUUUGUUGGUUGUGAAUUCAUAACUAGAAAUAGUGUUGGUUGUGAAUUCACGCGAAUUCACAACUAACACGUGAAUUCAAACUUUAAAAUUUGAAUUCACAACCAAUACUUGUUAUUCAGUUGUGAAUUCGAGUUUUAAAGCUUGAAUUCACAACCAAAAUAAAUUUUGGUUGUGAAUUCGUGGGUAUUUGUAAAUAUUUUAUAUGCAAGGGUAAAAUGGUAAAUGUUGGUAUUUUUUAAAGUUUUUAUAUUAGUGGGUAAAAUUUAUUUUUACCAUAUAAAAGUGGCUAUUUUCAAAAUCAACUCUUUUUCUUUUAUUUUUAACUCUGCAUAACUAAUAUUGUAGGCAUGGUGCUGGUUGGGCC